rnacentral:misc_RNA from 1 species
GAGUGAAGGGUCUCCGGGCCCGACCUCCAACCCCAUGUUAUCCGACCCAGUUGCCUCGGGGGCGACCCGGCCUCACGGCGGGGGCCCCCGGUGGACCGUCAACUCUGCAUUACUGCGUCCGAGUCAAUAUUGAAUAAAUCAAAACUUUUAACAACGGAUCUCUUGGUUCU